rnacentral:rRNA from 1 species
AGCGACACAAUAGCACGAUGAAUACACCAGUUCCCAAUUGAUCACUGAAGUUAAGCAACGUUGCCCGUGGUAGAUAUCCAGAUGGGAGACCAUCUGGGCAAUCGCAUGGUGAUGGUUGUUC